rnacentral:lncRNA from 1 species
AUGGGCUUUGCUCAUUGUUGAAGACCUAUAGUUGUUAAUUUCUGUGUCAUGUUUGUCUCUUGAUGAGAGUUGUCUAAUUGGCAAUUAUACCACAUCUUCUGUUUUAUGUGGUCAGAAAACAGAAGCAAAAUGUUACAAAGGAGAAUCUUCAAUUUGCUAAUGGAUGCUUUUGUCCAGACAGAGAAACUAUAAUUUUGAAAUUUUUGAUUUGGC